GGUGAAGUCUGACAGGUAGCAGGGUGUCCAAUCUUUUGGCGUCCCUGGGGCACACUGGAAGAAUUGUGCUGGGCCACACAUAAAAUACUCUAACAAUAGCUGACAAGCUAAAA